GCUAAACGCGAAGAACCUUACCCAGACUUGACAUGCACUAGACCGCUUCAGAAAUGAAGCUUCCCUUCGGGGCUGGUGCACAGGUGCUGCAUGGCUGUCGUCAGCUCGUGCCGUGAGGUGUUGGGUUAAGUCCCGCAACGAGCGCAACCCUUAUCAUUAGUUGCCAACACGUAAUGGUGGGAACUCUAAUGAGACUGCCUGGGUUAACCAGGAGGAAGGUGAGGAUGACGUCAAGUCCGCAUGGCCCUUAUGUCUGGGGCUACACACGUGCUACAAUGGUCGGUACAAAAGGCAGCGAAACCGUGAGGUGAAGCAAAUCCCGAAAGCCGGCCCCAGUUCAGAUUGUAGUCUGCAACUCGACUACAUGAAGAUGGAAUUGCUAGUAAUGGCGAGUCAGCAACAUCGCCGUGAAUACGUUCCCGGGUCUUGUACACACCG
rnacentral:rRNA from 1 species